UACCAAAAACGGAAUCAAGGUUACAGUG
rnacentral:piRNA from 1 species